GGCGGCCUGCCUAAUACAUGCAAGUCGAGCGAACUGAUUAGAAGCUUGCUUCUAUGACGUUAGCGGCGGACGGGUGAGUAACACGUGGGCAACCUGCCUGUAAGACUGGGAUAACUUCGGGAAACCGAAGCUAAUACCGGAUAGGAUCUUCUCCUUCAUGGGAGAUGAUUGAAAGAUGGUUUCGGCUAUCACUUACAGAUGGGCCCGCGGUGCAUUAGCUAGUUGGUGAGGUAACGGCUCACCAAGGCAACGAUGCAUAGCCGACCUGAGAGGGUGAUCGGCCACACUGGGACUGAGACACGGCCCAGACUCCUACGGGAGGCAGCAGUAGGGAAUCUUCCGCAAUGGACGAAAGUCUGACGGAGCAACGCCGCGUGAGUGAUGAAGGCUUUCGGGUCGUAAAACUCUGUUGUUAGGGAAGAACAAGUACGAGAGUAACUGCUCGUACCUUGACGGACCU
rnacentral:rRNA from 1 species